GAUUGUCAAUGAACUCCAUCUAGUGAUAGGCAUUAAAUUUGCAGUCAAGAAGCUCCACAUUCCCAACAGAAAGGGAGCCUCCGCGUGGGCUUCCCUGAGAGGAUAAAGCAAAAUUCUUUGAAAGGCCGUGUCCAACUGGUGGGCCUUAUUCCCCAUUUUGGAGGAAAUGUUCUCACUGAGAAAACUAGAAGAAUGUACUCCAGCAAAUUCUCUCCGAGACUCAAAUAAUCAGGGACAUUUUUUCAUAUCAUUGGUCCGUAAAUGUUCUGCAGUGUUAGUCAAUGGGCCAGCCUCCCUGGGUCGCAAGAUGCUCAGCAACUCUGUAAACAAGGGCUUGGGAACAGUCCCUGUAAAAGCCUCCUAUCACUCCCUGCCAAAGAAUCCCAUUUGCCUCUGGUGCUAAGAAGGCUCAUUUGCUUAGCUAUCAGCAACCUGGAGAACAUUAGUUACAGUUUGGGUAAGCCAAGACCAGGAAGAAACAUCUAAUCCUCCGACCGACCGAAAGGAGGGGUGAAAGAAAACAGAAAUUUCCCCAAAGCGCCUCUACAAAAUGCCGGAGAAUUUGACGACUCUGGAAAUCUGCCUCAUUCAAAUCCAAGUCAUUCUGGAGUCAAGACAUCAAACUGUGAGGCCACUGAUUCCUGUCAAAAACAAAGGACCAACAGGUCUUCCUCUGGAUGUGGAUAGCAUUCUUUCUCAUAUGUCCCUCCGAAUAGUUCUGGAUAACUGCAUUGCUACAGUAGAGAAGUCCAUUACAUUCAAUUUUACCACAGUAUAUCAAUCUCUGUGUACAAUGUUCUCUUGGUUCUGCUCCUUUCACUAUACAUCAAUUCCUGAAGGUUGUUCCAGUUCACAUGGGAUUCCUCCACUUUAUUAUUCCUUUAAGCACAAUAGUAUUCCAUCACCAACAGAUAAGAUACCAUAAUUUGUUCAGCCAUUCCCCAAUUGAAGGGCAUCCCUUCAUUUUCCAAUUUUUUUUGCCACCACAAAGAGUGCGGCUAUGAAUAUUCUUCUACAUCUUUUUCCUUAUUAUUUCUUUGGAGUACAAACCCAGCAGUGCUCUGCCUGGAUCAAAGGGCAGCUAGUCUUUUAGUGCCCUUUGGGCAUAGUUCCAAAUUGCCUUCCAGAAUGGUUGUAUCAAUUCACAACUCCACCAGCAAGGCAUUAAUGUCCCAAUUUUGCCACAUCCCCUCCAACAUUUGUUACUUUCCUUUGCUGUCAUGUUAGCCAAUCUGCUAGGUGUGAGGUGAUACCUCAGAGUUGUUUUGAUUUGCAUUUCUCUGAUUAUAAGAGAUUUAGAACAUUUUUUCAUGUGCUUAUUAAUAGUUUUGAUUUCUUUAACUGAAAAUUGCAUAUUCAUGUACCAUGCCCAUUUAUCAAUUGGGGAAUGGCUUGAUUUUUUGUACAAUUGAUUUAGCUCCUUAUUUGAGUGAUUAGACCUUUGUCAGAGGUUUUUGUUAUAAAGAUUAUUUCCCAAUUUGUUGCUUCCCUUCUAAUUUUGAUUGCAUUGGUUUUAUUUGUACAAAACCUUUUUAAUUUAAUGUAAUUAAAAUUAUUUAUUUUGCAUUUUGUAAUUUUUUUCCAACUCUUGCUUGGUCUUAAAAUCUUUCCUUUCCCAAAGAUCUGACAAGUAUACUAUUCUGUAUUCACCUAAUUUACUUAUAGUUUCUGAAGGGUGAGACUUUUAUUCAAGGUGUCUUCCUAAACAAAGUUCUAGUUGGCCAACUGACUCCAAAUUGAAGAUGGUUGAUUAAGGAUAGUUGAUUUGGAAAUGAUUGUGUCUGCUUAGUGUAUACCUGAACAUCAAUAUAUUUAAGCUGGACCUAUAAAGGUACAGUAAGCAUAAAUCCAAAGAGACACAGAACUGAGAUGGAUUGAAAGAAGCCAGGCCAAUAUAUAUAUAUAUAGACUCUGGUUUCCUGGAAUAAAGUUUGAAGGUAGUGGUCCCUUCA
ensembl:lncRNA